GAGCCCAGGAAUUUGAGAUCAGCCUGGGCAACAUACCAUCUCAAAAAAAUUAAAAAUAAAAAUAUAAAUAAACUACACAUAUACCAUGUAGCAGGGGUAAUGCACUAACUUACUAGGGUGGUCACAUUCACAGAGGAUAGGACUCUGAGGGCAUGGGUCUCAGAAUAGAUCGAGUUUUUUGGUAGACUGUGGGUCAGGGAGAAGAGAAGUAGACUAACUGAAUUCCUUCUAUGUGCUAGGUUCUCUUCUAACUGUUAUUUAAAAGGUUACCUUUCCUCAUUCCAGCCUUAGCACCAAGAGGUAGGUAGGCGUCAACUCCAUUCUAUGGAUAGAAAAGCAGUUUCUGAGAGGUUAAGCAAUUUGACCAAGGUCACAAGGUUAGUUGCUGGCAGACCCUAGGAGUAGGAAAGCUAGAGUGUUGUGUGUGGGGAGGAGUAGGGGGUUGGAUAAAAUCUAAGGCCUACCAAAAGGAAAACAGAGGCAAAAAAAAAAAAGGAGGGGGGGGCGGAAUAUGGUGUCAUUAACCAAACAUGAAUUAAAAGACCUGGUCCUGUCUUUAAAUUGGUUACAAUUCACCUGCAGAAAGAUGAGGAACUCAUGAUACAGGGCAGAAUAUAAUAAGCAAUACUAAUAGUCAAGUCCAAACUGUGCAUUAUGACUGAGGAAGAUAAACAAGAAACAAGCAAGGGAGGAGUCGGGAAACUUUGAAAAGGCUACUGGGAGGAGGUUGUCAAAGCCAUUUAAAAUGGAGACUUCCUUUAAAUACAGUGCUUGCUUCCUUUUGCUUGGAUGAAGUAGUUUUAGAUUUCAAGCAAGUUAGGUACAAAACAAUGAUUACUGAACUGUCUGGAAGGUCAACAGACACAUUAUGAUCAUUGAGUUAUAAAUCACUGAAGGCUAUAUGGGUCCAGGCAACAUCCCAUCUGCGGGUACUAUUUCAGGUCGAGAUACAUAAUAUCAAUUGUUGUCCCCAGCUCCACUUCCCGUCACUAAAAUGUGACAGUGAUUAAAUGCAAAAUGCAAAUAUUACAGUAUGUAAGUACAAAUUUAAAACAAUAAUGGCCUCUUGUCAGACAAUAUGGAAAGGCAAAGUUGCAUGGAAUUUGUUAUUAUACUUGCAAAUGCAGCAAUAUUUACAAUGGGUUGACACAGAGCUACAUAACCCAAUACAAGGCGAGGGAAGAAUUAUGGAAAGCAGGAAAGGAAAAUUGUGAACAUGGAAGAACACCGCCUUUAAGGAAUCACAAAGGAAGGCAUGAAGAGGGAGGAAAACAGUUUCAAGGUCAGUGUUCCUCAGACAUUUCGGAAUAGCCCCCAUGCUCCUAAUUUGUUUUAUGAAUCAAAGCAAAGGCCAAAGGAUCAGUUUUUUGAAGUUUGCUUAUGGCCUAACGUCCUCAGUGUCAACUCUAAUUUCUUAAUUGUCUUAUACUUCUUAAAUCUCUCAUUUUUCUAUGAUCCAUGAGAUCCGCGAGGCCAGAAACCAUGUCUGUCUUGUUCACCAUUCUAUUUCUAGCAUCUAACAGUGCCUGGCAUGUAGUGCCUGCUCAGUAAAUAUUUGGUAUUUGAACAAAUAGUUGUUCUCCUGGCUGCCUUGAAAGCUCUGGUGGCUUUCCUCCCCUACUAAGAAAUUGCCUCCAGUCUCUGUAUCUCUCCUUAUCCAAUUAUUUUCACUAAAACCUGCUUAUUUUAUAUCUUAUUCCCUCAGAGACUCUCUAAAGAGAGCAGAUUUUAACAAUAAGAUUAAUAGUUUCAGGCACUGAAUUAAUCUGGGGCCAACCAGAAAAAUAGAAAACCACUGUAAGUGCUUAAAACAGAGGAUAUUUAAUGCCGGGAACCAGUUACACAGAUGGUGGGGAUACAUAUAAGGACAGUCUUGCCUCCCAGAUCAAGAGUAUGUUGAAAGCAGUUCUCUUGAUGCAUAAUCCUGUUAUGAGCUCACGCAAUCUAAGGGUUGGAAAGAAUCUUAAACUUUGUUAAGCUCCAACUCGUCAGAUGGCUGUUGUGCCACAGAUGGCUAUUGCCUACUCCAACAUCUCUUCUUCUCUUUCUCCUCAGGCACAGAAUGGCUAUUUUUAGAUGAACACAUUUCUACCCAGAAUCAAAGAUAAUUCUGUUUUUCUGACCUUCCUUGCAGCUAGCCAAGGCCAUGAGACUAACUUUUAGGCAAUAAUAUGUAAGCAAAGGUGUCAUGUGGGACUUCCAGGGAGGUUUCUGAAAGGGAGUGGACACAUUCAGGAGGGGCUUCUUUUGGUUUUCUUCCUUUCCUCCUUUUUGAGGCCUAUAGUAAAGACAUGUUGUUGGAACUCCAUGGGCCCAUGAAGUAUCCUUGCGGGUAGAAGACAUGGGAUAGGAUGAUACAACAGAAAGACAGGACGCCAGGUCCGUGAUGACACUAGAGAGUUACCCUGUAGCUUCGGACUGCCCACUUCCAAAUCACUUUUAACAUGAAAGAAAAAUAAACUUCUAUAUUAUUUAGCCAUCGUUGUUGAGUUUUCUGAUCUUUUGCUUUCUUUCUAUUAUAUACAAGUGAAUCUAAUCCUAACUAAUCCAGUUAUAUCAUUUUUAUUGCAUCUGAGACAAAUGGCCAUUUAACUUUGGCUUGGAUACUUCCUGUGGUGGGAAACUUACUAAUUCUUUGGGUGGCCUAUGUAUCUUUGAACAGCUAUUACUAAUGAGAACUUUUCUUAACUGACUGCAAAUUUAUAUUUAUUAAGAUUGUACUUAAGGGUCUUUGAAUGGUUUUGGGUCACAAAGAACCUUCAAAUUUUUUUUAUGUCACGUAUUUGAAGAUGUGUCAUGUUCCUUGGAGUCAGCUCAUCUCCAGUUUAAAUAUCUCCAAUUCUUUCAAUUACUCCCCACAAGACCGUUUCUUCAUUUCAACAAGCUUAACCUAGCUUCAUGUAUUAGUUCACACAGGAAACCCUGUGGAAAAGAGCUCGAGGCUAUGAGAUUCAGCAAUGUUGCCUGCAGCCCUAUAUAUUUAAUUGAUUCCAUUGAAUUAAGGAAAAGGUACUUUCUACUUGUUCUAGUCUAAAUUAGCAGUCUGAAGUUUACAUAAUGGACUUCACUAUUUUGGGUGGGCUAAAAUUGAGGUUAAAACAAACACGAUUAUUUAAUCCUGUACUAUAUUAUAAUCAGCGUGUUCAGCAAGAGACUUAAAGUUUUAAUUCAUUAUUAACCACAUUGUACACAAACCAGCUUCUCCUUUUACAUAGUAAGAGGCAACAUUCCCAGAGUCAUUAGCUAUUGCUUAAUCUUUUUAAACAAAGCUCCCUUCUUAAAUGUUUUCUGUGGACGUAGCCAAUUCAGACUGUUGGGCUCUCAUCUCCAGGGCCGUCUGCUUAGCACCUGUUGAUCACUUCUAAUGGCAACAUAUUCUUGGAGUCUACUGAGAAACCGCUUUCCAUAUGUGUUAGAAGAAAUUUAUAGUCCCUCAAAAUGUGCGUCUAAGAGUUAUGCUUCUCCCCCACCACCCAACUAGAAGAGUGGCAAAUGCCAUUGACUCCUACCUGUCAAAUUCAAUAAACUAAUAUUUUUUUGUCAUCUCAGCUGACACUUCUAUGGCAUUUCACACUGUUGACUACCUCAUUUUCAAAAUUAUCUACUCCUUUGGUUACCAACAUGACAUCCCUACUGGUUCUUCUUCUGUAUGGCCAUUUCUCAGUUUCCUGUGCUGGGUCCUCUUCCUCUAAUCACCACUUAAUUGUUGCUGUUCUUCAGAGCCCUGACCAUGGCCAUCUGUGCUUCUCAUUUGGCACCUUUACCCCAGACAAUCCCAUCUACUUCUAUAUAAUCAGCAUAGGCUGAUGACCUUUUAGCCUGUAUCUCCAGCUCUGACCUCUCUCUUGAGCUCCAAAUCAGCAUUUUCAACUGACACAGGGGCAGCGCUCUUGAUGACGCACAGGCACCACAAACCAUGAAUCUUCAAAACUCAUUAUCUCCCCACCCACAACUCAGAUACUCAAGCCAAAAUCAGAGAAUCAGGCACUUUCUUACCUUUCUGUAGUUAUUCCUGUCAAUAAACAUGUCAUUUAGAGAUGUGAAAACCGAGGCUGAGUGCUCAAGUAGCUUGUCUAUAAAUCCCUCAGCUACUACAAGACACUUUUUUAAAGUUUAUUUUUAAAUUUUCCUUUUUUCUUUUUAUUUGUUUUUCCUUUUUUUUCUAAGCCCAUACCUUACAAGGACACUACAAGAGAAAUUCUAACACAUUUCAAUCUAACUCUGGAGCUGGAACUCUUAACUGUUAUGCUAAAUUCCCCUUACUAGGUAGUUCUAUUAUAGAAUAUUUUGUCUUCAUCUUGAAAAUCAGAGAGCAAGACCCUGAGGGAAGAGAACACUAAAGAGGAAAGGGUUGUUGAAACAUUCGGUUUGGAGGGGAGGUUAGGUUCCUGAACAACCGGGAGAGGUAAAAGCUCAAAAAGUGCAGGGAACAAAAGGCAGUUGAAGGAAAAAGUGCCAGGAGCCAGGGCAGAGCAGGAAGGGCCUCAGGCCAAAGUAGUCUUUCGUAGGGUCUUAUUGAGAAACAAGUGACCUCACUAGGAUUCAAUCAAGCUUGUAGGUAAGUGGUUUCCAGGUGGGAAAGGAAAAAACCUUUUGGUAAUCCCAAACUUUGAUUUCCACAUAACUUAUACUGAAAUCAAAAGGGCCAAUUUGACUGAUACACGUGAAUGGUAAACAUGAUGAAUAGCUGCAAAACAUAAUAAUUGGCAUUACUUUGGAACAGAAGCAAAGGUACAAUUAUCAUAGCCCAUUCAACCAUGAAAAUUAUAAGCAAAUUGACAGUAAAAUAAUUAUUCUCAAAAUAUUUUUUUCAACAGUUUUAUUAAGCAUCUUUCUAUUGUAGUCAUUUCUAUUUCUUCUGCUCCAAAUUCUGUCAGCCACUUUUUUUUUUCUGGCUUUACACUUAGCAACCCAUUAGGAAUGGAACUCAUUUUCAGUACACAAAAGGCUUUGGGACAGCAAAUGUCUUUAAUGUUAACACUCUCUCAGUAUCCGCUGCUUGACCAAAUAGAUAUAUUCCAACAAUGUUGGCUAUAAGAUAAAUGCUAUUUUGCUUUUGCCUUACAUUAGAAUGCUGAAGAUGUGUUCCCAUGAGUUCCUGCCUCCUUGUACCCCACUGAGUGGAAUGUUAAAAAUACGGAGAAAGAAUUUAAGACCUGCCAGAUUGGAUCAUGCCAGUGUUUCCUAUAGCCUAAGAUUCUACCUUCAACUGUGGCAGUAAGAUAAAUUUUGUGCAAUUUCUACAGAUGCAGUCCCACCUCUGGCCAUGGCCAAAAUUAGCUGGAUAAUUCUUUGAAUCUGGCUAAUGUGGAAUCUUGCAAGGACAAAGAGGAUUUGCUCACGAACUGGAGCUAACUUCCUCUUAUAGUCUAUCCUCUGUGGAUUUGUGAGUCCACACAUUUUUACCUGUACAUGAACUUGGCUAUGAAUGUGCCUUGCCAAGGAUUACACUUGUUCAUCAUCACCAUGAGAGACAUUCCAGGGAGAUGAACGUGGUGGGAUGCAGGAAAGAAACACCUUCCUGGUAGAUGAUGGCAAAAUACAAUAGUAAGCAAGGGAAGAAUUAUCAUACCAAAUCAAUGAGGAUAUUUGCUGCCAAAGGCUUAGGCAUGGAGGCCAACUGGAUUCUCAUCCAUGACCCUGAUAGGACAUCCUGAACCCCAUUUAUGUUGUUUUAAGAGUGAUUCCAUAACCUCAAGAGGGUUGUAUGCACUGGUGAGCCAUCUGAUCCUUAAUGUCAUCUACUAGGUUACAUUUGCUUUUUUUCUAGUUUCAUAGAUGGAAGACAUUUCUUAUACUCAAAUAUAUUUAUUUAGUGCUAUAAAUCUCCUGGUAAGUACCAUAUUAGCUGCAUCCUACAAGUGUUUAUAAGCUGUGUUUUUAUUGUUAUUAAAUUCAAAAUACUUUCUAUUUUCCCUUUUGAUGUUUUAAUUAUUCAUGAUUUAUAAGUGUGUUGUUUAGUUUCCAAAAAAAUUGCAAUUUUCCAGAGGUUUUUCUGCUAUUGAUUUGUAACUUAAUUUCAUUGUGAUCAAAGAAUAUUCUUUAUGUGACUUAAAUAAUUUUAAAUUUAUUGAGACUUGUUUUAUGGCCCAGAUUAUUGUCUAUCAUGAUAAAAUGUUCCAUGUAUACUUGAACAGAAUGUGUAUUCUUCUGUUGUUGGGUGGAAUGUCCUAUGCUGAUUAUAUGUUAUUAUUUCUUAUCUAUCCUUGCUGAUAUUCUGCCUGGUAGUUCUAUAUCAGUUGCUGAGAAGUAGAUAUUAUAGAUCCCAACUAUAAUUAAAGAUCACAUCAUUUGUUUCCUAUCUCUCAAUAAAUAUUGUUGUUUGUUGCUUGAUGUUCAGUGUCUGAAAACUAUUGUUUCAUAUAUUUUGUCCCUUUUUGUUAGUUCCAUGUAUACUUGAACAGAAUAUGUAUUUUUCUGUUGUUGGGUGGGAUGUCCUAUGCUGAUUAUAUGUUAUUAUUUCUUCUCUAUCUUUGCUGAUAUUCUGUUUAGUAGUUUUAUCAGUUGCUGAGAGGGAGAUAUUAUAGAUCCCAACUAUAAUUAAAGAUCAUUUAUUGCCUUUAUCUCAGUAAAUAUUGUUUUUUGUUGCUUGAUGCUUAGUGUCUGAAAACUAUUGUUUCAUAUAUUUUGUUCCUUUUUGUUAGUUGUUUCAGGCAGGGGAGUAAGCUUAGUCCCUGCUAUUCCAUCUUGGCCAGAAGUGGAAGUUCCACAAACAUUUAUUUUUAAACAUGUUCAAAUUUCGCUUUCAUACUCAUGCUACUUGAAACUGCCCUUACAGGGGUCACCAAGAACUUUUUGUUGACAAAUUGAAUGGAUCAUUUCCAAUUCUCUUAUUUACCUCUUGGAAGCAUUUGACUCUGUUUAUAGGACUUUGAUCUCAGAAUAGUUUCUACCUUUGACUUCUGCAAAAAUUACAUAUCUUGGUUUUUCUCCAAGCUUUCUGGCAACUUUUCUCAAUCUACUUAAUUAUUUCAUUUUCUUCUACUUGUCUCUUUAAUUUCAGUAUUUUUCACAAAUAUUAAUUGAACUUCCCCUGGAUGCUAGAUGCAGUGCCAAGUGUUACAGGGUCCUCAAACUCAGUACACAUCAAACCAAAAUCAUCUUUCCUCACUUCUUACCCUGACCUUAUUUUCCUAUGUUUCUUAUCUCAAUAAGUGCUAUCCAGUGGUCCUACCUGGAAACUUGGGAAUAAUCCUUCAUUUUUCCCUCUCCUUCACUAUGCCCACCUUACAUUCAUGCCUGAUAACAGGGAGUGAUGUCUAUAAAAUAUUACCAGGGCAAGGCAAUCUGAAUGGAGGGAGGGGCAACCCUGACUAAACUACAUAUCAGUACAAGUUCUAUGUAAAGGUUUUUAUCUUUUCCACCCUUGAUGGGGAGACUAAAUAGUGUUUCUCACUGGAGCCUCUACUCACUCUCAGCAGUCCCAUUCCCAUUCAAUCAGUCCUCAAGUCUUUUAGGUUGUACUUAUUUAAUACCUUUGAAACUGUCCACUUUCUACUGUCUCCCUGGAUACCUCCUUAGUUUGGCACUAAUGGCCAAGGCUACCACUCUAAACUAAACUACCAUUCUCUCUUGCCUUAACUACUAUAGAGCCUCCUAAGUGAUCUCCCUACUUCUACUCUUAUCCUACUUUUCUCCCAAUCCAUUCUCAAUUCAGUAGCCAAAACUGUCCUUAAAAAAAUGAAAAUCAAAUCAUAGCAUUAUCUGCUUUAAAGCCUUAUUACUCUUCUUUGCUCUUGCUUUGUAAAUAAAAUCAACACUCCAUAUCAGGGUCGAUAAAGCCCUGCAGGAUCUUGACAGUGCCUAUCUCUCCAGUUUCAUCUCUUGCCAUUCCCAGAUGGUCACCACUUUGUCUAGAUAAUUUCUACUCAUCCUUAAGAUUCCAUCUCAAGUGCCACUUCUUCCAUGAAGACUACUCACUCCCUGAUAUGGUUUGGAUUUGUAUCCCUGCCCAAAUCUCAUGUCAAAUUGUAAUCCCCCGUGUUGGGAGUAGGGCCUGAUGGGAGGUGAUUGGAUCAUGGAGGCGGUUUCUAAUGGUUUAGCACCAUCCCCCUAGUGCCAUCAUGAGAUUUGGUUGUUUAAAAGCAUAUAAUAUCUCCCCCCUUGCUCUCUUUCUCCUGCUCCAGCCAUGUAAAAUGUGCCUGCAUCUCUUUUACUUUCUGCCGUGAUUGUAAGUUUCCUGAGACUUUCCCAGGCAUGCUUCCUGUACAGCCUGUAGAACCAUAAACCAAUUAAAUCUCUCUUUUUUUAAAAUAAAUUACCCAGUUUCAGGUAUUUCUUUACAGCAGUGUGAGACCAGACUAAUUGCAUAAGUAAAAGGAAGGCAAGUACUAAUUGCCAAGACAAUGGGGAAAAGGCCCAGAAGGCUUUUCAGAGUCCUCCACAGCAGGCCCUCCUAUCACAGGCCCUGAGGCCUAGGAGGGAAGAACAGUCCCUUAGGACACUGCUCCUGGCAUCCUGGCAGCUCCAACUCUGGCUGUGGCUCAAAUGGGCCCAGGUACUCUGGCUGUUGCUUCAGAGGGUGUAAAUCGUUAAGCUUUGGUGACUUCCAUGUGGUGUUAAGCCUGCAGGUGCACAGAGUGCAAGAGUUGAGGCUUGGGAACCUUCACCUAGAUUUCAGAAGAUGUAUGGAAAAGCCUGAAUGUCCCAGCAAAAGUCUGCUGCUAAGGUGGAGCCUUCAUGGAGAACCUCUACUUGGGCAGUACAGAAAGGAAAUGUGGGGUUGGAGCCCCCUCACAAAGUCCUCACUGGGGUACUGCCUAGUGGAGCUGUGAGAAGAGGGCCACUAUCCUCCAGACCCCAGAAUGAUAGAUCCACCAACAACUUGUACUGUGUGCCUGGAAAAGUCACAGGCACCCAACACCAGCCCUUGAGAGCAGCUGUGGUGGCUGAUCCCUGUAGAGCUACAGGGGUGGAGUUUCCAAGGCCUUGGGGGUCCACUCCUUGCAUCAGUGUGACCUGGAUGUGAGACAUGGAAUUAAAGGAGAUUAUUUUGGAGCUUUAAGAUUUAAUGACUGCCCUGCUGGUUUUGGACUUGCAUGGGGCCUGUAAUACCUUUCUUGAGACCAAUUUCUCCCUUUUGGAAAGGGAAUAUUUACCCAUUUCCUGUAUCCCCAUUGUAGAAGGGACUUGCCCUGUCUCAGGUGAGACUUUGGAAUUUUGAGUUAAUUGUGGUAUAACUUAAGACUUUGGGGGACUGUUGUGAAGGCCUGAUAGUAUUUUGAAAUGUGAGAAGGAAAUGAUAUUUUGGAGGGGCCAGGGGCAGAAUGAUAUGGCUUGGAUUUUUGUCCCCACCCAAAUCCCGUGGUUAAUUGUAAUUUCCAAUGUUAGAGGUGGGGCCUGGUUGGAGGUAAUUGGAUCAUGGAGGCAGUUUCUAAUGGUUUAGCACCAUCUCUCUAGUGCUAUCAUGAGAUAUGGUUGUUUAAAAGGAUGUAGCACCUCCCCUCUUGCUCUCUUCCUGCUCUAGCCAUGUAAGAUGUGCCUGCCUCCUUUGCCUUCUGCCAUGAUUGUAAGUUUCCUGAGGCCUCUGCAGACAUGCUUCCUGUACAGCCUGUGGAAGCAUGAGCCAAUUAAACCACUUUUCUUUAUAAAUUACCAAGUUUCGUUUAUUUCUUUAUAGCAGUGCAUGAACAAACUAAUAUACUCCUUAAAGUUGGUUUUGGUGACUCUCCUCUGCCGUCUUGUAGCACCCUUGACUUACCCGUAUUUCAGCACUCAUCAUAAAUUAAUUAUAAUUGCCUGCUUAGUUAAUUGCCUCUCUAGCUUGAUUGUGAACUCCUUGAAAGCAAGGACUCUUUUUUUUUUUUUUUUUCUUAUCAUUAUAUUCUCAAUGGUGAGCAUGAUUUCUAGCACAUAACAUUUUAGGGACAUAUGAAUAAAUGCAAAUUUAGCCUACAUUUUAAGAGGAGGUAGUAUUUUAAGUGUGUUCCAAAACUACACCAAGAUCGCCCUCAGAUUCUCUUCUCUAUUCCUGAGGGUGGUGCAGAUGAAGAAGAGAGUACUUCCUUUGGAGUGAUCAGGGAAGGCUUCACAGGGAAGUGGAAUUUGAGGUAGAUUUAGAAAAACAGAUACGACUUUUGCUAGGUGAUUGUGGAGAAAGCAUUUUUAAACCCCAGGAACAGUAUGAGCAAAGACAUAGAGGUAAGGUUGAUUGUACAUUGAAUGUUUGGGGUAGAGCUAAUAGUUUAGUGUCAUUAGGAGAGAGGAUUGAUAUAGGCAUGUAAAGGGAGACAAAUAUAGAAAGCUAGGUAGGGGCCCUGAGGUAGGAUACUUUGAAUGGCAUGCUAAAGGGUAUGGAUUUGAUUUCAUGGGCUCUGAGGAGUAUUUUUCUUAUAUUUAUCAUGCAUUAAAGACUUAUUAAUCAUGUAAAAGGAUUGGACUAUCUUGAAAACACAAUAUGUUUUUUUUUUCCUGAGAAUAUAUCUUAGAAAUGGUAUUAUAAAUAAGGGACUAAAAAUGAUUUACUUUACAAACGUGUAUUUUUGCAGACAACAUUUUGGGUGUGCAUAAUUUUCUUUAAAUGACAUGAAAUUGAAAUACAUAUUAAAUUCAAAACAAAUGAUUUUUAAAAGUAUUCAUUGUUUGGACUGUCCUUGCCAUGGCUUGCUUUUUUGCAGAUGUAAUUGACAAUUAACUACACAUUAAAUAGACAGACUAUCAGCCUGACUCAUGAUGUCUUGCCCCCUGCCAAACACCUUGAAUUAUGGUUGUAAUUCUUGGAAUCAAAUGUAGUAAUCAACGAUAUCAGUUGUUGGCUGUAUAUGAGUUAGUGGGGUGGUGAUGGUGGGAGAAGAUGAAUCACUGGGCUAUAAAGCAGAACUGAAUUCUAGUCUUGCUCUGACACUAGCUGUGUGAUUUUGGAGGAGUCACUUCACUUCUUUGUACUUAAAUUUCCCCAACUGCAAAAUAAACAUUUAACUCUAACAUUGUGUGUGAUUUUUUAUUUGUCAACAUUACUCAACCUAAACAUCUUUAUUUGCUGAGAGAAAAUACUCUUUCUCACACCAUUUUGUUUCUAGUGAGUUACUCCUACGAUCACUUGGCCAACUUAUUUGGUUCUGAUUAGUAGAAACAAAACAAAAAAAAUGAAAUCAUUUUGCUUCACAUAGCACUUUAUCAAAAAUGGCUCAAGUCAGUUCCUAAGAUAGCUGAUCUGUAUUUGGAAGCUUUGUCUCAAUCUCCUCAUUCCUUCCUCCCUUCAUUCGCUGUAUUGAGUGAUCUAACCCACUAUUGCAAAAUACUGCUCAAACCUAUGUCUCUUAGUUUUGGCCUCUCUUUUGAAAUUUGGAUUUGAACUUCCAACUGCUUAUAGAAUAUUUUCACUUAGAUAUAUCCUGCAGUCACCUCAAACUCAAACUUCCAAAAUGAACUCCUCAUCUCCAAAAAAUAACAAUGACAAAAUGAACAAAAACCAAAUGCAGUUAUCUUAUUGUUCCCUAACUCAGUUACAUGAAACAUGUAACUUAAAAUUACCUGUGAUUCCUUUGUCUCCCUAAUGCAGAAUCCCUAAACCUAAUCAAUUACAGAUAUCUUACAUCUCUCACUUCUUUCCUCUCCUUUCAUCUCCUAUUGCCACUGCUCUCAAGCAGACGUCAGUCUUUUUUACUCUACUCUGUGGCAGCAGCCCCCCAAAUGGCUCUACUCUUUCCACUUCUAUCUGCAUUUCAUAUUCCCAUUAGAAUAAUCUUUCUAAAGCAUAGCUGUCAUCAUGUCACUCUCCCCCUCAACUGCCACUGUCUCCAUUCUCAUUGCCUACAGGAUAAAACACAAAUGGUUCUGCUUGGCAUCUGAAACCCUCUACAAUUUGGCCCAGGCUACCCCCUCAAGCUUAUGUCCUCAGGCAGGCUAUGCUCUAUAUUUGAAACAUAUACUAUUCUUUGUCACUCUUAUACCUUUGUUCAUGCACAUAUUUCCUUCUGCCUGUAAUGUAUUUCUAUCACUGCCUGGUAAAACCUUGCUCAUCCUUCAGUUGGUUGUGUGUGCUGUUCUUCGAAUAUUUUGUGAUUCUUGAUUAUUACGUUUCCUUUAUUGAUGAGAUUUCCUGCCAGAUUGGUGCCUCUGUUUAUGCAGUUCCCUGGGAGGUGCCUGUUGGGGCUUGUGCCCUCUUUACAGUGAGAGUAGAAGAUGGAUAGAGAUGCUUUUAAUGUGUCAAUGGGUAGGAUAUUUUAACAUUUGGCAAUCAGGACAUGGUCACUCCCCUUUCCUUCCAGAAGUCAUCAGCCUCUGGGGACACUAUUCUCUCUCCCUGACUCAAGCACUGCUUCUGCCUGAAGACAGAUAACCCCAUUGCUGUUGCCUGACUCACAGUGGGGAUAGAGCAGGGGAAUGCACAGAGGUUAGCCAGUGUGUCUACUACAAUCACUUCAGUGACCCUUUUAAUCUCCUUGUUGGCUUCUUCUAUGCCACACCCUUGUCAGAUUUCAUGACCUCCAAGUGUGAAGCACCCUUUGUGUAACUUCUACCCUUUGUGAAAACAGAUCCUGGUACCUAAUCUGUGCAUGUCAUAGGCUGCUGUUUUCCUAUUUAGUUUGAUUUGUUGGUUUUCAGUUUUGCAGAGAUUCCUCAGAUUUUAGUCCCCUAAUGAUGUAUCUUCUUGAUUUUGAGUCUAGUAUUUAUCUCUCUCUCUCUCUUUUUCUCUUUCUCCCUCUCAUUUUAGCUUUGGCGGAGAAAAUGGUAUGGAGUCAGAAGGUAGGAAAACUAUCAUGUGUAUUUAGUCUGCCAUUUGAAACCAGAAAUAUUAAUUAUUCUCCAGAUCUCUGUGCAACAUGACUUACUCCAUAAAGUCAUUUGAAUUACUCUUUCCCUUGCCAUUCUUCCACCAUAUUCAAUGAAAACAGAGAAAAAAUUCAUAUGAGAACUGCUGAAAAGAAAUAUGACAUUAAAUAUGUAUUCCCAACUAAAAAGUAACUCUCAAUAAAAUUGGAAUUAUUGGAUAGUUCUUAAAAUGACUUAAAAAGGCUUAAAAUGACUGUAUAAAAUAUACAAGUAUAUGGGUGUGUG